GUUGUAGUGCGAUAAUGUAGAGAU
rnacentral:miRNA from 1 species